rnacentral:rRNA from 1 species
AGCGAACGCUGGCGGCGUGCUUAACACAUGCAAGACGAACGUGAAAUGUAGCAAUACAGAGUAAAGUGGCGUACGGGUGAGUAACACGUGGGUAAUCUACCAAAGUGUCUGGAAUAACCGAUCGAAAGGUUGGCUAAUACUGGAUAGUUCAAGCUUGUUAUAAUGGCAAGAUUGGGAAAGGGAGCUGGCAACAGCCUUCGCAUUUUGAUGAGCUCGCGUCUGAUUAGCUAGUUGGUAAGGUAAUGGCUUACCAAGGCUGAGAUCAGUAGCUGGUCUGAGAGGAUGAUCAGCCACACUGGAACUGAAACACGGUCCAGACUCCUACGGGAGGCAGCAGUGGGGAAUCUUGCGCAAUGGACGAAAGUCUGACGCAGCCACGCCGCGUGAGUGAAGAAGGCCUU